rnacentral:rRNA from 1 species
UACGAAGGGGGCUAGCGUUGUUCGGAAUUACUGGGCGUAAAGGGCGCGUAGGCGGUGUGUCAAGUCAGGCGUGAAAGCCCCGGGCUCAACCUGGGAACAGCGCUUGAGACUGGCACGCUCGAGUUCGGGAGAGGAUGGUGGAAUUCCCGUAGUGAUAGAGGUGAAAUUCGUAGAUAUUGGGAAGAACACCGAUGGCGAAGGCAGCCAUCUGGACCGACACUGACGCUGAGGCGCGAAAGCGUGGGGAGCAAACAGG